UCGAAACCUGCCCAGCAGAGCGACCCGUGAACACGUUCAACCUCGUGGGUGUUGGGGCGUUGCUUGGCGCCUUGUGCGCCUGCUCGCCCCUCUCCCAGGCCGGGGUGCUCCCACUCGUGGGCUGUUCCCCCGGCUAAACAACGAACCCCGGCGCGUAAAUGCGUCAAGGAAUAUAAACUUUAUGUGUGCGCUCUCCUGUCGCCCGGUUAGCCGGGCGUUGGAGAUGUGCCAUGUCUUAACAAUA
rnacentral:rRNA from 1 species